rnacentral:rRNA from 1 species
CCUACGGGUGGCAGCAGUGAGGAAUAUUGGUCAAUGGACGCAAGUCUGAACCAGCCAUGCCGCGUGCAGGAAGAAGGUGCUAUGCAUUGUAAACUGCUUUUAUACGGGGGUAAUUCCCGAUACGUGUAUCUGGCUGAAAGUACCGUAUGAAUAAGGAUCGGCUAACUCCGUGCCAGCAGCCGCGGUAAUACGGAGGAUCCGAGCGUUAUCCGGAUUUAUUGGGUUUAAAGGGAGCGUAGGCCGCAUGUCAAGCGUGCUGUGAAAUGUCCGGGCUCAACCCGGGCCUUGCAGCGCGAACUGGCGUGCUUGAGUCCGCGGAAAGCAGGCGGAAUUCGUCGUGUAGCGGUGAAAUGCUUAGAUAUGACGAAGAACCCCGAUUGCGAAGGCAGCUUGCUGCAGCGGAACUGACGCUGAUGCUCGAAAGCGCGGGUAUCGAACAGGAUUAGAUACCCCUGUAGUC